CAUCAUUCUCAGCCACCCGCACCCGCACCAAACCUGUCACCGUCUCCGUCUCUACCCUGACCGCCGUUGCCCCCCAGCACCACCGUACCCCACCGUACUCCCUCUCCUUUCCUACGCAACUCCCCUGCCCUCUCCCUCUUUUCUCUUCGCAGCACCACCCCCGACAACCACCACCACCUCCAGCCACCUUCAUCACCUUGCCAAUCAACCACCGCCACCAAACAACCCAGCGAGCCUCCCUAUCGCCGCCCAGAAUCGCCCAAAUCACCACCCCUCCCCUGCUUUCCCCUGUUCGCGCGACACCCCCUCCCCUUCCUUGUUGUUUCGCCGCCGCGAACACACCACCACCAUCGCCUUACCGGCGCGAUUCCGCGCCUUUGCGCCGUCCAGAACCCGAGCGCAGCCCCAACCCCCUCUCCUCCCCUCUCCUCUCCCUCCCCUGUUUCCUUCGUGCCCCCUUCCCCUGUUUUUCGUGCUUCCCUUUCGAAUGAAACAGGUUCCAAAUUGGAACCUUGUUUCCUUUAUUUCCCACGCCCAAGCCCAAAACAAAUUGGCCCAAAUUCUUUUCAAAGUAAAUUUUACUAUUUAUUUAAGCUCUAAUUAAUUGUUGCUAUUUUCUCGUAUCUUAAUUAUAAGGAUUUUAAAUGAUAAUUAGAAUGUUUAUAUUUUGGGCUGAAAAUUUGGAUUUAAUAAAUAUUUUCGUUGAUUCAUGAAAUUAAAUAACAUUUCUUGUAAAUCGAUAUAUAUGUUUUGAUUGAAAUUUCGUUUAAUAAAUAUUUUCAAGAAAUUAUAAACAUUCAUAUUUUUAUUAAAUUCAUCAUUUCAAAAUUCACUAUUUAUAAAAUUAUUAAUUAUAAAGUUGUCAAUCUAAAUGUUUUAUGAAAAUAAAUAGUUACUUAAACAUUUCAAUAAAAUAAAUUAUUAAUAAUGAUUUAAAAAUAUAAUAUGACAGAUUUUUGGAAAUAAAUAAUAUUUCAUUAAUUCCGAAAUUAUAAGAUACAUAUUCAUUAUUUUAAAAUCGUAUCAGUUUUAAAGAAAUUUAUCGUUUUAGUAACUAAUUCAAAUAACUUAAUACUUUGAAAGAAAUCGAACUCGGAGCUCAGGACGAAUGAACCAAGGAAAAAGGCUUAGCAAAUCGUGGAAUUGAGGUACCGCGGGAAACGAUGGAAACGAGUAGUUGCGAGGAAUUUCACUUUAAUAAUAUUCACCUAGUUUAUGCUUAAAGUUAUAAUAGUUUAAUUAAGAAAUUUUAGUAAGCGCGCUAUGUACUUUUAUUUUGGAAAUAUAAAGGAUUACUAUAUUAA